ACGAACGCUGGCGGCAGGCCUAACACAUGCAAGUCGAGCGCACUUUUUACCUUCGGGUAGGGAGCGAGCGGCGGACGGGUUAGUAACGCGUGGGAACGUACCCUUCUCUACGGAAUAGCCUUUGGAAACGAAGAGUAAUACCGUAUACGCCCUUCGGGGGAAAGAUUUAUCGGAGAAGGAUCGGCCCGCGUUAGAUUAGAUAGUUGGUGGGGUAAUGGCCUACCAAGUCUACGAUCUAUAGCUGGUUUUAGAGGAUGAUCAGCAACACUGGGACUGAGACACGGCCCAGACUCCUACGGGAGGCAGCAGUGGGGAAUCUUAGACAAUGGGCGCAAGCCUGAUCUAGCCAUGCCGCGUGAGUGAUGAAGGCCUUAGGGUCGUAAAGCUCUUUCGCUAGGGAUGAUAAUGACAGUACCUAGUAAAGAAGUCCCGGCUAACUCCGUGCCAGCAGCCGCGGUAAUACGGAGGGGACUAGCGUUGUUCGGAAUUACUGGGCGUAAAGCGUACGUAGGCGGAUCAGAAAGUAUGGGGUGAAAUCCCAGGGCUCAACCCUGGAACUGCCUCAUAAACUCCUGGUCUAGAGUUCGAGAGAGGUGAGUGGAAUUCCGAGUGUAGAGGUGAAAUUCGUAGAUAUUCGAAGGAACACCAGUGGCGAAGGCGGCUCACUGGCUCGAUACUGACGCUGAGGUACGAAAGUGUGGGGAGCAAACAGGAUUAGAUACCCUGGUAGUCCACACCGUAACGAUGAAUGCCAG
rnacentral:rRNA from 1 species